CUGAAUGGCUCAGUGAUAAAGCUGCUGUUUUAUAUGCAGAAGGUCUCAGGUUCAACCCCUGCAUUUCCAGG